GUGGCUGUGGCUCAGUGGGUAGAGCGUUACCUCACACGCAUGAGGCUCUGGCUUCAAUCCUCAGCACCACA
rnacentral:tRNA from 1 species